UUCUUUUCUAGGUUGAGUUUCCUGAGGCCAAUGCCUCUGUCUGAUUUUUCCUAUCUCCAGUAUGCAGCUCUGAGUGUGGCGCUCUGUAGUUACUCAACAGUGAGUGAUUGACUGUAAAUACUCAUUCAGAUGCCACUUUUCUUCAAGAGAAGCCUGGUGUAGCAGAAAACUCCAAAGGCUCUGAGAGGAUGGAAUUCCACAGGGUGGUAGGGUCCAAAGACGCCUCUGCUGGAGAAGCUUUCAAGACACGAAGUGGAGACUCUCGACAUGCACAUUCUCGAGUUCUUGGAGAUACCUAGAUGAGGCUUGUUUGGUAUAGACUUAAUAACAAUGAAACUGAAGAAAAAUCAAGGAUCAAACCAGGUUGUUGGUGUCUAUCUGGUCCCAGAUUAUCCCAGUGUGGCCGGAUGCUGCCAAGGUUUGUAGACCUCCCCUGGGAGAACUUCCUUCUGUCCUCCCACUUGGUCUGAUGUGGCUCAGGCGGGAGGAGUGCCGCGCCCACCAAACCCAACUGUGCCCGAGGCCCAUUCCUCCACUUCAAGACCUGUCCAGGCACUCUGUCCAGGAAGCAGGAGCCCACCAGACCAAUGGAGGCUUUGGGGAUAGAUGGGGAACUCUGUCCCAAGGCCACAGCAUCAGAGGUCCUCUGUUUAAUAAGGAAAAACUUAAAAGUAAGUCACUUGGGUUCCGCUCCUGGGCUCCAGGGCCACUUGCCAACUUCCCUGAGGUUUCACUUUGCUCUGUGGGUACAUCUUCUUUUCAGUCUGUUCCAGAGACCAGACUUCCUGUUGGCUGUGGGUUCCUGGCACUGUCUCUUAUUGCUGGGUGGCCAGGCUGCACCUGGAGAGGACCCUUGCCCUCCCCUUCAAAGGAAGGAUGGUCUCUACCAACUCCCCCAGGGAGGGUUUUGACCCCUGGAGGGGUAACUGUAAGAAUUCCUUUCUCGAAUCCUGCACCAACUACACACUCUAAAUUUUCUCCAAGCUCCUCAACCCCAGCUCAGGAAAGGUUCGUAGCUCCUCUUUGUGUCUUGGAGAUAUGGCUUGUAUAUCAUCAUAUGUUUUCCC
rnacentral:lncRNA from 1 species